GUGGAGGAGGAUGGUAUGAUUUGAAAUGGAGGGUGGAGGUGAGGAAUAGGAUUUUGGCGAAGGAGGAAGAAGAUGUACAGGAAACAAAAGAGGGUCCUCCUUCAAUUUUCUUUUUUGUUUUCUUUUGUUAUUUUUUUGGAGAGAUAGAGACUUUGUCAGUGGAGUGGUGUAUCUUUUUUUUCUUGGAACGGAAGUGUGUGGAUUCCUUUUCUAUUCCCUUUUUUCCUACUGAGAGCUCGCGAGUGAAUCCUGCGAGUGGGGACCUUUUGUGUGUUAUUAGUGGAGAGAGUUAUUGAGGGAGAGGGUGUGUUUGGAUAAGGAUGGAAAAGAAACCGUUUUGGAUCCUCCUCUUAAUGACUGCCAUGUGGCCCUGGGAGAGAUAAGGUUCAGAUUUUUGUCCAGCAAAUAUCAGUGUG
rnacentral:lncRNA from 1 species